AUCUGGGAGGCCACAAACCAUGGAAGCUGUACGCAUGGCGUAGUGGACUAGCGGUUAGAGGAGACCCCUCCCUUGCAAGUCGCAGCAACAAUGGGGGCCCAAGGUGAGAU
rnacentral:lncRNA from 1 species